GGGGGAUGUAGCUCAGUGGUAGAGCGCGCG
rnacentral:piRNA from 1 species